rnacentral:lncRNA from 1 species
GCUGUUUACCUUCCUGUUGCAGCAGUACCUAUUUAUAAACUUGUACUUUGACAUGCUUUCGAACUGCUAGAUGGGCAGGAGGUGGGACUGAGCAACGGGAACUCAACCGAUUAUGAGGAUUCGGACGAGGACCUUCCAGACAGCAAGCCCAGGAGUACCGAUGAACCUCCAUUGUGUACACUCUUGGGAGGAUUUUGCCAGGGCCCAAUCACUGCAAAUUGUGCUUUUGGAGAAAUUACAAACAUCCCCUGUGGUCCUAAUGAACGCUGCUGUAGGAGAGGACAAUAAUCAAUGUAAGAGGAAAAGGGGGGUUCUGCCAGGAGGAACUCACCAAACGCUGCCCGCCUGGUCUAACUCUUCCGGCUUACUGUGGCUUCAGUGCACAAUGCUGUGCCCUUGAGUGACAUCAGUGAGCAGCCCACAUCCAUCAGUGUGAACGCCUGAUGGCUACACUGAUUCUUCUGGAUCUUUGCUUGUGGAAGUGGGCCUGAUCAAUCCAUUUGUGAAAGCAGACAAUGAAAUAAAAAUCAGUCUGUUCAGAUGAUCAUCUAAUUAAACGCAUAUUAACCUGCAAAUCUAAAAUUGUUUUUUUUUUUGUUUUUUUUUUAAAAAAGCAUUUAUAUGGCGCAUCCUCCAGAGGAAGUGCAUCAUAUCUGCCCAAGAUUCCUCUUGACUGAAGUUCUCA